CAAGUCGGACGAAUCCCAUUGGUGUAGCAAUACAUCGGUGGGGGAAGUGGCGAAAGGGGCAGUAAUGCAUGGGUAACGUACCCCGGGGUCGUGGAUAGCCUUCCUAACGGAUGGGUAAUACACGGCGAUUCAGCGAGCCGGCAUCGGUUUGCUGGGAAAGAUUCCGCCUCGGGAGCGGCUCAUGUCGUAUUAGCUAGUUGGUGAGGUAACGGCUCACCAAGGCGAAGAUGCGUAGCGGGUGUGAGAGCACGACCCGCGCCACUGGCACUGAGACACUGGCCAGACACCUACGGGUGGCUGCAGUCGAGGAUCUUCGGCAAUGGGCGCAAGCCUGACCGAGCGACGCCGCGUGAAGGAUGAAGGCCUUCGGGUUGUAAACUUCUGUCGAGGGGGAUCAAGGGCAACUUGAGUGAUCCCUGGAGGAAGCACGGGCUAAGUUCGUGCCAGCAGCCGCGGUAAGACGAACCGUGCGAACGUUGUUCGGAAUCACUGGGCAUAAAGGGCGCGUAGGCGGCUUAUCAAGUCAGGGGUGAAAUCCGGCAGCUCAACUGUCGAAGUGCCUUUGAUACUGAUGAGCUCGAGGGAGGUAGGGGUAUGCGGAACUUCCGGUGGAGCGGUGAAAUGCGUCGAUAUCGGAAGGAACGCCGGUGGCGAAAGCGGCGUACUGGACCUCUUCUGACGCUGAGGCGCGAAAGCUAGGGGAGCAAACGGGAUUAGAUACCCCGGUAGUCCUAGCCCUAAACGUUGGGUACUAGAUAGUGGACUUACAUGGGUUCACUGUCGAAGCAAAUGUGUUAAGUACCCCGCCUGGGGAGUAUGGUCGCAAGGCUGAAACUCAAAGGGAUUG
rnacentral:rRNA from 1 species